rnacentral:rRNA from 1 species
GACGAACGCUGGCGGCGGGCUUAACACAUGCAAGUCGAACGAGGUCCAUCUUGUAGCAAUACAAGUGAAGACCUAGUGGCGAACGGGCGAGGAACACGUGAGAAAUUUGCCCCGAACUUUGGGAUAACAGUUGGAAACGACUGCUAAUACCGAAUGCCGUUACGAAGUGGCAUCACUUUGUAACGAAAGAAUUUCGGUUCGGGAGAAUCUCGCGGCCUAUCAGCUUGUUGGUGAGGUAACGGCUCACCAAGGCUACGACGGGUAGCUGGUCUGAGAGGAUGAUCAGCCACACUGGGACUGAGACACGGCCCAGACUCCUACGGGAGGCAGCAGUGGGGAAUCUUGUGCAAUGGACGAAAGUCUGACACAGCCACGCCGCGUGCGGGAAGAAGGCCUUCGGGUUGUAAACCGCUUUCAGCAGGAACGAAAAUGACGGUACCUGCAGAAGAAGGAGCGGCCAACUACGUGCCAGCAGCCGCGGUGACACGUAGGCUCCAAGCGUUGUCCGGAUUUAUUGGGCGUAAAGAGCUCGUAGGUGGUUUGAUACGUCGGGUGUGAAAUUCAGGGGCUCAACCCCUGACCUGCAUUCGAUACGGUCAAGCUAGAGUUUGGUAGGGGAGACUGGAAUUCCUGGUGUAGCGGUGGAAUGCGCAGAUAUCAGGAGGAACACCGAUGGCGAAGGCAGGUCUCUGGGCCAAUACUGACACUGAGGAGCGAAAGCGUGGGGAGCGAACAGGAUUAGAUACCCUGGUAGUCCACGCGUAAACGGUGGGCGCUAGUUGUGCGAACCUUCCACGGUUUGUGCGACGCAGCUAACGCAUUAAGCGCCCCGCCUGGGGAGUACGAUCGCAAGAUUAAAACUCAAAGGAAUUGGCGGGGCCCCGCACAAGCAGCGGAGCAUGCGGCUUAAUUCGACGCAACGCGAAGAACCUUACCAAGGCUUGACAUAUACAGGAAUACGGCAGAAAUGUCGUAGCGGUUAAACGUCUGUAUACAGGUGGUGCAUGGUUGUCGUCAGCUCGUGUCGUGAGAUGUUGGGUUAAGUCCCGCAACGAGCGCAACCCUCGUUCUGUGUUGCCAGCAUUUAGUUGGGGACUCACAGGAGACUGCCGGGGUUAACUCGGAGGAAGGUGGGGAUGACGUCAAAUCAUCAUGCCCCUUAUGUCUUGGGCUGCACGCAUGCUACAAUGGCUGGUACAAAGGGCUGCAAUACUGCAAAGUGGAGCGAAUCCCAAAAAGCCAGUCUCAGUUCGGAUUGGGGUCUGCAACUCGACCCCAUGAAGUCGGAGUUGCUAGUAAUCGUAGAUCAGCAACGCUACGGUGAAUACGUUCCCGGGGCUUGUACACACCGCCCGUCACAUCACGAAAGUCGGUAACACCCGAAGUCAGUGGCCCAACCGCAAGGAGGGAGCUGCCGAAGGUGGGAUCGGUGAUUGGGAUG